AUACGUAGGUGACAAGCGUUAUCCGGAUUUACUGGGCGUAAAGGGCGUGUAGGCGGUCUUGCAAGUCAGAAGUGAAAUUCCUGAGCUCAACUCGGGCGCUGCUUCUGAAACUGCAGGACUUGAGUGCUGGAGGGGAUAGCGGAAUUCCUAGUGGAGCGGUAAAAUGCGCAGAAAUUAGGAAGAACACCGGUGGCGAAGGCGGCUAUCUGGACAGUAACUGACGCUGAGGCGCGAAAGCGGGGGGAGCAAACAGGAUUAGAGACCCUGGUAGCCCACGCCGUAAACGAUGAAUACUAGGUGUAGGGGGUAUCGACUCCCUCUGUGCCGCAGUUAACACAAUAAGUAUUCCGCCUGGGGAGUACGGCCGCAAGGUUGAAACUCAAAGGAAUUGACGUGG
rnacentral:rRNA from 1 species